CAGUAGCCGCGGUAAUACAGAGGGUGCGAGCGUUUAUCGGAUUUACUGGGCGUAAAGCGUGCGUAGGCGGCUUCUUAAGUCGGAUGUGAAAUCCCUGAGCUUAACUUAGGAAUUGCAUUCGAUACUGGGAAGCUAGAGUAUGGGAGAGGAUGGUAGAAUUCCAGGUGUAGCGGUGAAAUGCGUAGAGAUCUGGAGGAAUACCGAUGGCGAAGGCAGCCAUCUGGCCUAAUACUGACGCUGAGGUACGAAAGCAUGGGGAGCAAACAGGAUUAGAUACCCCAGUAGUCCCUGUCUCUUAUAC
rnacentral:rRNA from 1 species